UGGGGAAUCUUGCGCAAUGGGCGAAAGCCUGACGCAGCAACGCCGCGUGGGGGAUGACGGCCUUCGGGUUGUAAACCUCUUUCGACAGGGACGAAGCUUUCGGGUGACGGUACCUGUAGAAGAAGCACCGGCUAACUACGUGCCAGCAGCCGCGGUAAUACGUAGGGUGCGAGCGUUGUCCGGAUUUAUUGGGCGUAAAGAGCUCGUAGGCGGUUUGUCGCGUCGGCCGUGAAAACCUGCAGCUUAACUGUGGGCGUGCGGUCGAUACGGGCAGACUUGAGUUCGGCAGGGGAGACUGGAAUUCCUGGUGUAGCGGUGAAAUGCGCAGAUAUCAGGAGGAACACCGGUGGCGAAGGCGGGUCUCUGGGCCGAUACUGACGCUGAGGAGCGAAAGCAUGGGGAGCGAACAGGAUUAGAUACCCUGGUAGUCCAUGCCGUAAACGUUGGGCGCUAGGUGUGGGGAUGGGUUCCACCGUUUCCGUGCCGUAGCUAACGCAUUAAGCGCCCCGCCUGGGGAGUACGGCCGCAAGGCUAA
rnacentral:rRNA from 1 species